AUUUAUUUGCCGAGAGGAAAAAGUUUUUUGUCGAUUUUUAUUUGCAGUAAGAAGGUUGUUUUUUCAACUUUUUUGUCGUGAUCAAAAAGGCUCUGCCACUAGAAGGAAAUGUAAGGGGCGCUAGCGUGCCUGCCGCUCCGACUGCCGGCGUGCGUGGCGCCACGUCCAGCGCCGCGGUCGCAUGCAGGCAGGUUUAUGCAUCCAGGUUAGUUAGGUGUGCGAGGCCCAGGCCCUCUCCGUUAGGUUUGUCACCGCGAUGAUCGACAACCGUGGGCGAUCGACGAAAGGGUCCGGUUUGCACUGGCGGCCCACCUCUGCUCUCCUCGCCUCUUCUUCGGCGGUACUUCGUCGGAGACGGAAAGGGUGGAGGAGCUAUUUAGGUAGGAGGGGUUGCUUGGGGUGGGUCGAGGGAGGGAGGGAGAGGAGAGGAGAAGGGAAGGAGGAGGUGGGUCGGUCUAGUCUGAAGUCUCGUCUCCAGCCAGAGCGGCGAAAACGAGGGCGACUGCCAGGGCACUCUCGCUCCGCUCCGCUCCGCCGUUGGUGGUUGGUUGGCCCCGCACCCGGCCUCGACGGAAACUACGCGGUCCGCGCCGGAGGGGGGCAGGAAACUACCCGUUGCGUACGCCGCCGAGGGAAUCUAGGUUCAUGGACGUGUCGAAGUUCGUGGGGCGGAGGGUCGCGGUGCUUGGGCUGGCGCUGAUGCUGGUGUGGUUGGGGCGGCGGCUGAGGGGCUUCUUCGUCGUCGGGCCGAGGGUCGGCUGGCGGUUCUGCCUGCCGGUGCGCCGGGGGCGCGUCGGGCGGCGCCGGUACUCCGCGCCGCCCCGCCCGCGGGGGCGGCUGGAGCCGAGGCAGGAGCCGGUGGGGUGCGGGUUGGACGCGCUGGAGAUGCGCGACCCGGCCUUCGACCCGGUCCCGGUCAAGCCGUGGUGGAUGGAGACGUGGCUCGACCGGUGCCCCCGGCUGAUGCGGACGUUCAGGUAGAGGUUCGCGUUCGAGUAGUGGUUCCUCCUGUAGCUGCUGCACGCGGCGCUCUAGGUCUAGUACGUGGUGGAGAGGCCGGUGGGGUUGCAGCAGCGGUAGUUCCCGCGGAUGCUCCUGGUCGAGAUGCACGUGUAGCAGUACCUCGAGACGCGGCCGCCGCUCGAGAAGCUGGCGUAGUAUGUCGCGCCGGUGAUGUCGCUCGCGUUCCGGCGGCUCGAGUGGUCCUAGUAGCAGCCCCAGCAGCUCCGGACGGUGAGCGAGCCCCAGUACGUGGCCCUGGAGUUCGGGCUCUUGAAGGACGAGCGGUUGUUCCUGCUGCUGGAGAGCGAAUUCCGGUAGCUAAAGCCGGAGAGGCAGAAGAAGUUCGGACCGGUUUAGAAGUGGCUACAACAACCUUCGGGUAUAAUACAUCGGGGUCUUCACGAGACGUUUUUUAUACCCGGUCUUCGACUACAUACCUGGCGACCACAUUAAGAGAUGUAAGACGAUUCACCACAUGGGGGUAAAACCCGUCUCUGUGUCGUUCCUUAUAAACUACGACAUGACUUUCCACAUUAGCUAAAACUAAGACUUGGGACCGGACACUAUAGACUGUCACGUUUUCUAGACUAUUGUUCUUACGAGUUAGGAGCGGGUCGACUUGCGAACUGUCGUGUGCUUCAAGAUACGGUAGGUACCUAAGCACUAGUCCCUCAACGAGGACUAGCAGGAGAACUGUGUCGACAGAAUAGAGCGUAAUUCGUUAAGAGACGCUACUUAUUCAACUUCUUCUACCGAAACGCCCAUUAUCGACUCUCGGAGAGUCUCCUCCUUUAACGUCCCAACUUCCUUUACAAGGUCUGAUACCUGCGGCUAUUGUCACCACGUUAAUGUAUACUACUCGAGUUUCUUCCGAACUCUUUUAUACCGAGGUGUAACUUCCUAUGGCUCUAAGCACUAGAAUACCUGCGCCGCCUACACCUGUUGUCACCCUGGUAACUGAUAUAUCUCAAGUAGCGACGUUGUAACGUAGACUUAUUUGACCUCGCACUCCUUGUAGAUCACCGUCGGAAAAGUAUAAAGCUGUUUCUACCUUCACCAAUGUAGUGUCACCUACUUGACGUCGUUCGAACGGUUCUCGUAUUGUACGGUCUACGAAAAGAACUACUACAGUAAUUUCUUCGACUGGUCCUGUUACUACCCGCGUAGCUGAUACCUCUUAAACAACGGUACUACUGGUUCCCGUUAUACCCCCACCCCGCUUCUUGUUACUCUUUGUCGGACUUAUAGUCGUACUCUCUGCGUGGACCACGUUAGAUCUGAAGGUGCUACAUGUAUGUCGAACACCGAAAUCGAAGAAGGACAGAAGGACGAGAUGGUUCUGAAGGACGCUAAAAGCUUAGAACAUUUUACGGACACACCUACACACAAAGACCCCUAAGACUAAAUCGAGCAGUUAACUAAGCUGCCUUGCGUACGAUUCGACCCAACUUUACUAGAGUGUGCAACGACGACGAAUUAGGGACGUUUUACAAGUCACUUAAUGGAGGAUGAUAUAGAGGGACCUUAACAAUUGAGAAUUUUACCGAACAGGGUUACUUCGUACAGGUCAAACUACUUGUCAGGACCUACACUACAAUGAAGGAAAAGAGAGAUGUAUAGUGAGCGGUACGUUGGCACACUUGAUCUAUACGAAUAACAGUUAUACCGUACUGGUUCGGAGACAAAAGAUCACAUACGAGCGACAGGGACCGUAGGGGUGACGUAAGAAACGUGUAUCGAUAGUGUACCCAAAAAGUAGCCGCGAAAGUUCCAAGUUCCUUUGGUUGACCGCUUGGAUUUCGAGUCUGUUUAUCACCUGUCUAUAUUGUGCGUAUUAUUAGUUUCUCAUCUGUAAAAUGAGGAGACACCAGAGUUACUUAGACUGCCCGAUGUCUCGUUUUCUUGAUGUCCCCCAAAGACACCAGUGGUCAUUAGGGGCGUUCUCGUCCUUGGUGGAAACUUCACCACUUUAGCUUGCCGCAGAGCUUAGUGUUUGAGGGCUGGUCAGUGGCAGCUAUAGUUGAACUAGUGGCACACCGUCAGUGGCGUUUACGCGUCCAAGAAGUAAUACACCUACCCGUAGGUCCGUCCGUUCAAGUACUAGGGUUUUCGGUGCCGGUCGAAGAGCGACACUACCUAGAGUCUGGCGUCCCUGAGCCAGGAGUGCAUAGGCUCCACGCGCUAGAAGAGGUACUCAAGUAGGUCGAAGAGGGCUUAGCGCUAGUGGACUCCCACCGAGUGCAGAAGACGAAACUUCUGCACUUGAAACAAGAAUUGAAGGUAGGUCGACAUCGGCCCUAAAAAGAAAUAGGGAAACAGAGCGUAAUCGAAGGACUGAACACGCCUUAGUAGACUAAACGGUCGUAGUCGUAUCUAGAAACGGUCUUCGUACAUCGGAGGUCUUAGUCCGCUCAGGUCCAGCUUGUUCACGAAUCGACGGUUAAGACGCUCCAGCAACAACGGUACACAGAACGUCCGCGAUUCUUCUCGGGGGGUUUGGAGUCGCCAACCAAAGUACCCGUAGAGCAGCUACUCUAAGAACCGAAGCUAGUUUAAGGGACGUGCCCGAUCUUCCAGGUGGUACGUGCUCUUUACGAGGUUGGGACCUCUAUGCAACACCAGGGAGAAGUUGUAUAGCUUUAUUUUGAAAGGGAGGACGUGCUCAGGUCUUACCGACGUCGAACUGUCUUGACGUUGUAUCGAAUACAUCAGUCCAAAACGGGGAAAGAAGUCGUAUAGUAGUUUAUAGAGAUAUCGAACGAAGGGGUACGGCACGACACUUAUUGGCCACUAGUACCGUAAGGUUCUUUGGUUUAGGAAGGCUGAAUCUUUGAGUUUAUAAAAAGCUCGAAGACUAUAGGAAGGCGUAAACCUCAUGUAACACUAUUGGCGUAAGUGCUGACUCCACAGAUUCUACUCUGGUUGGAAAUGUCAUACUGGUUAUUAAACUAGAGGUUCAAAUAAACGUGGGUAUAGGCGUGUGGGAGACUUGUUACAUUGUAUUCAUUGGGUCAGUCCAUACUGUAGGAAGAGUCAAUCGUAUCGUGAUAUGUAGAACUCCGGUAGAAGGAGUCGAGGUACAACAUACAUACGGGGGUUGUAACGUAAGGUACAUUAAUGUAAGGAACACCUGUACGGUAGUUUCUUGAGUGCUCGAAAGGGAUACAAGGGGUGAACUCUUAUACGUCAUUCGUACGGUCAGGUACUAUGUUACAGGGAAAGCCGGUAGCUUCACUUAUAUCUAAGUCGUAAGACCUCUAACGGUGUAAAACGUAUGUAUCUCUAUUCCCUUAAUCUCUACUGUUGUCGAGCCCACACUGGUGAAAAGUCUCUUUCUCUUACGUCGACGGAGUGUUCUGUGUAUAGGUAGGACAACCUCGUCGGUGAAUAAUAUCAACGGUCACGUUUGACUAGUUGACAGUAGUCGAGCCGAGAGUAGACUAACUUGUCAAGCUCUCUAAGUGACUUCGUUGGUAUGACGUUCUUAGGGGGUUAUUCUUGACAGGUACGGUGUCACAAGGCUAGCGCAUUCCUUGACUUGUGAGAGGAACGAAGGAAUUUUGUCGGUGUAAAACGUAUAUCAAGUUGGUAUCGUGACCGUUGCAUACCCAGUUACACGCCAUCCGAGGCUUAGUGGACUCGUACCUCAACGAAUGGGGUAGGAUUACUUCUGUUAAAUCGUGUACGUCAGUCUCUUGAUCACAUACAACAACUUAGUUCUGCGUGUGGAGAUAACACGUACAGAUGUCGGUAUGUCUCCCGAAGAGACCGAGCGGGUGAGACUCUGUUACGCCUAUGGUAGUACAAGGUACUUUGUUGUAGAGCAAGUCCGUACGAGAGCUUUUCGAGUUCUCGUACUAGUUGUGGCAUACUGAACCGUAUCGGGCGAUCGUAUGACAAGGCCGUUUUUUAUCAACCGGAAAAUUAGACUGACUUGACGAAGCUUCGUUUUAGGUGUCGGGGUGUAGAGUGCUUGUACAGUUGUUACCGUCAGCGUUGCAGUCCCAGCAGGAGCUUUGGUUUGAACCAAUUGUUGGGUUCGUCGACGCCGCGGUGAAGGACGGUGGGCUCUCGCGGCGUCCUGAAGUACCACGUCGGCUUUCACUUCCGCAAACCGUUCCUCAGGGGCGAAGCCACGUACCUGUACUUCCAGAGGUCCCGUAGGUACUUGACCGGCGAGACCUUCAUCGGCCUGUACUCCCACAAGGUCCUCCACUGUAGAGAGGACCCGUAAGACGGCUUGUCGAGGUGGCGUAGCGAGUCCGACGGGUCGAAGCGCAUGGGCAAGUAGUAAUACAACACCCACUACUGCAACCCGAGCAACUAGAGCGGCGCGUCGUCCGAAGCCCGCAGCCCCUCCCGAGGCGUCCUCUCCAUCCGCACCUCCUCGCACAAGACCUCCUUCUGCCGCCUGCGCUCCGGGUGCGACUGCUCCGCCGGCACGUCGCGCGCGCGCGGCCUCUCGCGCGGCGCCCGGGGCGUACUCGCGUCGCGCAGGCGCUCGCGGACGCACUGCCGGUACACCCUCCGCCGCCGCCCUCGCCCCUCUCCUCCCCCUCCUCCUCUGCCGCCACCGCGGGUACCGCAGCGGUGGUAAGUUUGCGUCCGGCGCCGCCUCCACUCCACCUGCACUCCGCCUCAUACUGUUCACCCUGGCUCUACACACUUGGAACGGACCCACACCUGGUUUUCCAUGCAUGACCGCGCCUAUGGCAAAAGGUUUACACUUUCGCAUUUCACAAGGAACGGAACGGACGAGCGGCGGAAGACAUCAAGACGAGGCAGCAGACGCAGAGAGACUGGGACAGGAACGAGCGCUCCGCGCAGGGUCGAGCUAGGGUGCGGCCCGCUCCUUCUCCUCGCGAUCCCAUGUCCCAAACCCCCGCUCCGGUACCUCCUCCCCCCUCUGCCUAGGGACCUCCGCGCCGGGCCGCAGGACGAGCAGCCGCGGGGGCCGCACCCGUUCGCUUGGUAGGAGAGGGCCAACGAACCCCGCCUUCACGGCCUGUGUAGGCUGAACAGGAGGCCACACGAUACAGUCCCCACCUUUUAACUGUGGUUCAUGAUGAGACGACUAUAAAGGUAAACCUGUCGUGUAGAGUUCCUUCCCAAAAGAGAACCGAGCGAGGGAGUAGACCUGGUUGACCGACGAGAACAAUACCAGAAGCUAUACUUACUACUUAGCAGGAAUGUAUGGGAGGCUUUAACCCAACCAUUAUAACUACAGGUCUCCAAACUUCAACACGACACGUAGCCUUUAUUUCGUCUAGAACACGGACCGGUACCACGCGUACAUCUCAUGUCCUCCGCGUACGUUUCCUAACCGCUCAGUUCAUCACUAGGUGUAGGACUUAUAAACCUAAAACCCUAUUUACUUUUACUUCCAACACCAAACAAUAGUCUCCUUCUUGGUGUUUAUCUCUAGUCUCUGAGGUGAAACUUCACCACGUAACUCGUAUCAUAACUCAUAUAACUUCGAACACGAAGGUUACGACUGAAACUGUUUACGGAUAGUCACCUACCACUAUCGGUUCCGGAUCUCGCUGAGAAACCUCGGGAAAGACGUGUGUACACCGGACCUUACUAAGACUUUAGACCUUUAUUUUAAUGAUCAGGUAGGAACCAGCUUUUUCUACUUAGAUGUCUACUACUUAACUGAAUACUUAAACUGAUGCUCCAGGAUAGGGUACGUAGACUACUCGUUACCCUUAAGCAGCCACUUAGCUCAUGUAGUUCUUCGAACCUUCCUAACCUACUUCGAUUUAGAUACGUCCUGUUGUGUGUCGUUCAACACUUGCCGUUACGAUCAAGAAGCCGCGGGUUGGGAGAAGGUUUACUGUCUAGAUGUCUUGGACGACUUCUUUUAGGACAUUGAGUCUCAGUGUGUUGACUUCUAUCAUCAUUAGUACACCUAUUGUGACCUCGUCUAUGAAGACUCCUGGUCGCUUGACUGUGGGGUCUCCAGUUACGUGACAAACUCCUACUAGUAAUACCGCAUCUACUAGACCUCGCUGAUUACAGUCUCUAACCGUUGUACGCGAGGUUGGAUUCCGAGCAAGGACUGAAGGUUUCCUCCCUCUACCGACGGUUCUAUCGGUACUUUUACCGUUGGUACAAACCACUAUCACUGCUGCUCCCGAAGGUACGACAGAUUCGAUUUAACGAAUAGAAGUGUGUCCUAAUGUCCAAUACCGUUCGGAUAAACAUGUCCCUCUAGCCGUAGUACGGUGGAUCCGUAAAAAAUAUUUUAGGACUACGGUAAAGGGUCGUUGUGUUUAAAACAUGGAGUAUCACGAAGGUCUAUAAAUCAGUAAAAUGGAAGAUAUCUCAAUAAGUAUGAAAGAUGACAAUAUCCCAAACACGACAUAGUAAUUCUUAAAUUAGAGAGAACUAAGAACUUAGUUGAUCGAUAACAUAUACAUCGAAUAGUUUACAAGACAAUGAUAACUUAACGCGUUUUAUACUCACUAUUUACUCUC
rnacentral:rRNA from 1 species